rnacentral:rRNA from 1 species
UACAGAGGGGGCAAGCGUUGUUCGGAAUUACUGGGCGUAAAGGGCGCGUAGGCGGCCUUCUAAGUCGAACGUGAAAUCCCCGGGCUCAACCCGGGAACUGCGUCCGAUACUGGAAGGCUUGAAUUCGGGAGAGGGAUGCAGAAUUCCAGGUGUAGCGGUGAAAUUCGUAGAUAUUAGGAAGAACACCGGUGGCGAAGGCGGCCCACUGGAUCGGUACUGACGCUGAGGUGCGAAAGCGUGGGGAGCAAACAGG